ensembl:lncRNA
CCGAAUUUCAGGCAAGCCUCCUAAACCAGCAAACCCAGGCCUUGGUAGCGGCCCUGCGGCCGGCGGCGGGCUCGGGGCCCCAAAACCCCCCUCCGGGGGCCUGCUUCAAGUGCGGCCAAGAAGGGCACUGGGCCAGGAUGUGCCCCAAUCCGCGACCUCCUUCCAAGCUGUGCCCGUUGUGCAAACGACGAGGACACUGGGCUAGUGACUGUCCCCAGGCCUCUCGGGCCUCGACCUCUAGGGGCCGGGGACCAGAGCGCCCCAGGGAGACCUCCUGCCCUCCUUCGGCUUUGGAGCUGCUGAACUUCAACGGUGACUGACGCCGCCCAGACUCGGGGACCCCAAUAACCCAAGCCAAGCCCAGGGUAACCCUCCAGGUAGCGGUGGGACCGAUCAUCAUUCUCCUACUGCUCCUGACUUUCGGGCCCUCAUCAAACAAUGGCUCAGCACAGUCCAGCUGAUGGUGAUGCAACAACAGUACCAAGGGCUUCCAACAAGCACUCCGUGGCAAGAUUAACGGCAGACGCCCCCUGUCAUCCCGGCUGUUCCCUACCCUAUCCCAGCCGUACCCUACCCCUCGUCUCCCCCGUUCAGCAGGAAGUAGCCAGAGAGAGUCGGCGCCCCUUGUCCUGUAUCAAAAAGGCCGGGAUGAAAGGUCAGGGCAAGGUCAGGCGUGUUGAGGCAUGCCUGGGCAUGCCCGGGCAUGUCAAGACAUGUCCCGGCAGAGGGCGCUGCAGACACGCCCCGGAGAUGGGCUGGCAACCAAGCCGACCAAUCAGGAGCCGACACGAAGCCCUCGCCGUCCAAUCAGGAGCUGACACAGAGCCCUUGGACACCAAUCACCGCUGAGCCCGCGUUUUCUUCCUUAUAUGGGAGCCCCGGCCCGGACUAUAAAACCCUUCCCCACCCUCGCAGACUCCGCAGACUCCCUUUACCCCGCUGACUCCCUUUGCUUCGCAGACACCCCCCUCGCUUCCUUGCUUACCCACCCCCGGGAGUUCCGCCCGAGAGCUACCGCCCAAUAAAAGGC